GACGAACGCUGGCGGCGUGCUUAACACAUGCAAGUCGAGCGGAAAGGCCCUUUCGGGGGUACUCGAGCGGCGAACGGGUGAGUAACACGUGAGUAAUCUGCCCCUGGCUUUGGGAUAGCCACCGGAAACGAUGAUUAAUACCGGAUACGACCACUUCUCGCAUGGGAUGGUGGUGGAAAGUUUUUCGGCCAGGGAUGUGCUCGCGGCCUAUCAGCGUGAUGGGGAGGUAAUGGCCCACCAUGGCUUCGACGGGUAGCCGGCCUGAGAGGGUGACCGGUCACCCUGGGACUGAGACACGGCCCAGACUCCUACGGGAGGCAGCAGUGGGGAAUAUUGGGCAAUGGGCGGAAGCCUGAUCCAGCAACACCGCGUGAGGGAUGACGGCCUUCGGGUUGUAAACCUCUUUCAGCAGGGACGAAGCGCAAGUGACGGUACCUGCAGAAGAAGCACCGGCCAACUACUUGCCAGCCGCCGCAGUAA
rnacentral:rRNA from 1 species